AGCAGCAGCCGCGGUAAUACGUAGGUCCCGAGCGUUGUCCGGAUUUAUUGGGCGUAAAGCGAGCGCAGGCGGUUAGAUAAGUCUGAAGUUAAAGGCUGUGGCUUAACCAUAGUACGCUUUGGAAACUGUUUAACUUGAGUGCAAGAGGGGAGAGUGGAAUUCCAUGUGUAGCGGUGAAAUGCGUAGAUAUAUGGAGGAACACCGGUGGCGAAAGCGGCUCUCUGGCUUGUAACUGACGCUGAGGCUCGAAAGCGUGGGGAGCAAACAGGAUUAGAUACCCCUGUAGUCCCUGUCUCUUAUACA
rnacentral:rRNA from 1 species